AUUCAGCUGACGAGUUCCAAAUAGGACGAAACGUGCGUCCUGGAU
rnacentral:hammerhead_ribozyme from 1 species